rnacentral:miRNA from 1 species
CCUUUGCCUUCAUCUUCUGCAACUU